rnacentral:rRNA from 1 species
GUGCCAGCAGCCGCGGUAAUACGGAGGGUGCGAGCGUUAAUCGGAAUCACUGGGCGUAAAGCGCACGUAGGCGGCUUGGUAAGUCACAUGUGAAAGCCCUCGGCUCAACCGGGGAACUGCGUGUGAUACUGCCUUGCUUGAGUCCUGGAGAGGGUGGCGGAAUUCCCGGUGUAGGAGUGAAAUCCGUAGAUAUCGGGAGGAACACCAGUGGCGAAGGCGGCCACCUGGACAGGUACUGACGCUGAGGUGC